rnacentral:rRNA from 1 species
AGGCUUAACACAUGCAAGUCGAGGGGCAGCAUGGUCUUAGCUUGCUAAGGCCGAUGGCGACCGGCGCACGGGUGAGUAACACGUAUCCAACCUGCCGUCUACUCUUGGACAGCCUUCUGAAAGGAAGAUUAAUACAAGAUGGCAUCAUGAGUCCGCAUGUUCACAUGAUUAAAGGUAUUCCGGUAGACGAUGGGGAUGCGUUCCAUUAGAUAGUAGGCGGGGUAACGGCCCACCUAGUCUUCGAUGGAUAGGGGUUCUGAGAGGAAGGUCCCCCACAUUGGAACUGAGACACGGUCCAAACUCCUACGGGAGGCAGCAGUGAGGAAUAUUGGUCAAUGGGCGAGAGCCUGAACCAGCCAAGUAGCGUGAAGGAUGACUGCCCUAUGGGUUGUAAACUUCUUUUAUAAAGGAAUAAAGUCGGGUAUGGAUACCCGUUUGCAUGUACUUUAUGAAUAAGGAUCGGCUAACUCCGUGCCAGCAGCCGCGGUAAUACGGAGGAUCCGAGCGUUAUCCGGAUUUAUUGGGUUUAAAGGGAGCGUAGAUGGAUGUUUAAGUCAGUUGUGAAAGUUUGCGGCUCAACCGUAAAAUUGCAGUUGAUACUGGAUAUCUUGAGUGCAGUUGAGGCAGGCGGAAUUCGUGGUGUAGCGGUGAAAUGCUUAGAUAUCACGAAGAACUCCGAUUGCGAAGGCAGCCUGCUAAGCUGCAACUGACAUUGAGGCUCG